GUCUGCUGCCAUGUGAGAUGUGCCUUUCAUCUUCUGCCAUGAUUGUGAGGCCACCCCAGCCACAUGGAACUGGUCUUGCUGUGUCACCCAGGUGGAGUGCGGUGGUGCCAUCAUGGCUUGACCUCCCAGGCUCAAUUGGUUCUCCCACGUCAGCCUUCUGAGUAGCUGGGACCACAGGUCCUGCAUGGAGGCUGGAGACCCGAGAAGGGAGCCCACCCUGGGGGAAGGAAGGAGACAUUUCCAACGCUGAGAACUGCCACAUGGUCUAUAGAAGGAUUUGCACUGAUGACAUGAUAGAGGCAAU